CGUGUUCACGGCGGACCUUGAUU
rnacentral:miRNA from 8 species